rnacentral:rRNA from 1 species
UACGUAGGGUGCGAGCGUUAAUCGGAAUUACUGGGCGUAAAGCGCGCGUAGGCGGCCUCAUAAGUCCGUUGUGAAAGUCAAAGGCUCAACCUUUGAAAGCCGAUGGAUACUGUGAGGCUAGAGUUCGGAAGAGGCGAGUGGAAUUCCUGGUGUAGCGGUGGAAUGCGCAGAUAUCAGGAGGAACACCAAUAGCGAAGGCAGCUCGCUGGGACGAUACUGACGCUAAGGCGCGAAAGCGUGGGGAGCGAACAGG